CCACUUCGAAGUUGCUGUUUGCCUCUUUUUUAGAACAAAUGCUCGUGCAAAACAUUUCAAAUGAAAAUUACUUGAUUUCCAAGAGAAUGAACGUACAGGUGACAUGCAUUUUCAUAUGACUAGUUUUGCAGAAAGACUCAUUUUGCCACAGAGGCAAAAGUCAACUAUUCAUCCAGGAGCUGGCUCAGGGAGCCUUUGAUUUUCUGAAAAAUGCUAAAGUCAGCAGUUUUCUUCAAGAUUCAAGGCUAAUUUUAUCUUGGAAAAAUUAAUGGCUACCCCCAGGUUUCUUUGUGGAUUCUAAUAACCCUAGCUAAGAUCUACUUUUUCUACGUUUUCCACGUUUUCCUAAUCUGGUGGAAACACAUUUAUAUUAAGUAGAAACUGUUUUUUAAUGAGCCUGAGACACACCUCAGUCACUAACGUUCAGUUCUGUGAUGGAGCACAGCUGCAUGUUUGCACAAGACUAGUCUUCAACUCUGUGUAGGGGGCUUUAUGCGAUCUUUGUAUGUUGCAAACAUCUAGAUCAAAAUACUUGCAUGUCAAGAGAAACCUGUUGACACUUGCUUUUUACUGAAAACCGUUAUAGAUGCAUUUAAAGGCACACAAGUUGAAUGAGUCAUAAGCAAUUGGAUGAGUUAAUUUACACUUGCCAAGAAUAUCUGCAGCUUGAUUCUCAGCAGGCUGUUGUGUCUUCUUCGAGGACCUCCCCCUGUCUGUUUCUGAGCUUUGCAGCCAUUUUUGUGAAGAAGGAUUGAACAUGGCAAGAAUUCAGGAACUCCUCUAAGGUGAACCGCCUAAUUCUGUCCUCAUUUUUAGUGAUACAGUAACUGCUUCAACUUUAUGGCCAUCUCCUGACCUAAGAAAAACUCUUCUUCAAGGUAGUUUCUUUUGUUUUUCAUUGAAAUGAGUGGCCCUUUUCGUCACUUUAGGGCCCAGCCUUUAGGUUUUAUUUCAUUAGCAGGGGCUGGAAGUGUAGAACUUGCUAGGGCCAGGUGAAUACCAUGAUUGUCGCUAUAGCGUAUUUUGGCCUUGUCAAAUAGGUUUUCUCUUUCAGGAACAAAUCAACAUGAAGUGUACUGUAGAUGCUUCUUCAGUAAUUAUCUCAGCAUUACCCUGUCUGAUGCAAAAGUGGAACGGCUAAGAAAAUAUAAGGAGUUUGAAUAAAACGCUGCUUACCAUUACUUCUUGCACACUGCUUUUCAGUCUGCUGCCUUUUGCAGCUUUUGAUGGCAUUUCGGGCAGCAAAAGACAAGUAUAAUGCUGAACAAAAAAACAAGUUAGAGGCUUUUUAUUGGAAUUCUAUCCCCAUUUUAUUUGUAGUAAAUUAAAACUCUGCGGAAAAACUAAUGGCUGUCAAUGAGCUUAGAAUAGUUGAUUGAUCUCUUUUCAAAGGCACAAAGGGUGUCGUGUAAGAAAUUAGUUUUAAACGGUACAGAAUUCGGAAGACUUUUAAUUCUCUGUUUAUUUCUCCAGCCCCAUCUUUGUCUAUUUAUUCUGGGUACGAGGGUAUCGAGUGUGGGCUUAGAAAUAACUAACAAGGGGGUGCAUUACCUAACCUCAAACCCCUAAAAUCGUGCACCAAACUCUCAUAUUCCACUGUGAUAUAAGUACUAAAAGUCCAGAAUAAAAGCUUAUAGCAGUUGGCAUACUUUUAUUUUAUCCUAAAUAGUAGACCAUUGGUGAGGUCCUUAGGGGGAAGGAGGGGAAGGGCUGUGUAUCCCUUAUCCUAUUAAUUUUUGGCGUAAAUAUCUUGUAUCCUGUUAAUUGCAGCUUAAGAUUUCCUACUCAAUUAAUGUCUCGUUUUAUCUGAUCUAAACCUGCUCUAAGGUGGUGAGGUGACUUCCAAUUUGAGCAACAACAGUUGGUUGGGCAUCAAGGGCUCAUUCUUGUUUGGAUCACUGGACACGGUAGUGAUGGGUCAGCAAUUCAUGAUACUCUCAACUGCGCACAUUAAUGUGGCCAGACUUUUGUCAUCAGUAAUUUGCUCUCACAGCAGGGCUUGUAGAAUCUUCCUAAUGGUUCAGAAGCAUCUCUCCCAAAUGCCUCGAAAGUGAGAACCAUUUGAAGGGCUGAAGAACCAGUUGAUGUUAUUUUGUAACAGGGAAUCAUGUAUCCAUUCCUGAUUCCAAUCUGAAAUAGAAUCACACAACUCCUUCUCACCACUGGUUAAGUUUGACCUGUUAUCUGUGUAGAUUUCCUUCACUUGGCCUCAUCUUGCAAUGAAACAUCGCAAAGCCAAUAAGAAUGAGUGUGUGCUUAGGCUGUGUGCAAUUUCGAGGUGCAUAGCACGGAUUGCCAGACGUGAAGAUCACAGCAUAUCUCUUUAAGAGGCUCCACCCACAACGGACUUGGAAUGGGCCAAAGUAAUCCAUGCCUACUGAUGUAAAAGUUGGCUUCUCAGCGAGCACACAACUUUCUGGUAAAUCAGCCAUCUUCUGUUGGCAAAGUAGUGCCUGGCAACAACGGCAACUGACACACUUUUCUAGAACACUUCUUGCAGUUGAACUUCCUUGGUUGAUCCAGAAUUUCUGCCUAACUGAGGCUAGGACAUGCUCUCUACUGGAAUGGCCACAUGCCCUGUGGUAAUUGCCGAUGAUCACUCAGGUAAUGUGAUCUUCUUUUGGAAGAAUAAUCAGGUGCUUUGAUUCCAUGAGUAAUGAUGCUUUGCGCAGCCGACCACCAACAUGUGAAAGCCCAUCAGACGAUUGGAUCGAGCUUGUACAGGCAACUACUCUUCUUAACUGGUGUUUUGGGAUGGUUGAGCUCCUCAGGGAAGGCUCUUCUCUGUACGUGCUUCAGAAUUUCUCUCUCUGCUCUCUUGAUCACUUCAAGGGUGAUGUAUUUUGGAACAUCGCGGCUUAACUCGUUCUUCUUGCCUGCCUUCAGAAGUCUUUCUCCGUAGCACAGGAGCCAGGCAACAACUUUCUUUAGAUAGAUCCAGGAAGAGCAUUUCUUGAAAUAUUGCAGCAGUGGACAGCUUUGCUUGCCUAGUGACAACAUGCACACUUUAACCUCCAUCUUCACCUCAGGAUCUCCCUCGGGGACAUCGUUAAUUGCUUCUGUCUGCAUUGGCCAUGUGUUCGGGCCUCCAAAGGUUCUCCAGCCCCAUUAACCAACACCCUUGACUAAGGAAGACAUCUGCUGUCAAUCCUCGAGAGGCGUCAUCAGUGGGAUUCAUGUCACUAGUUACAUGGUUCCAUAGAUGGGGUUCAGAGCCAUUACGAAUAAGUGUGACACGAUUAGCUACAAAGGUGUGAUGUAGCGGCGUCAACUCUGAUAGCGGAGAGAUCCGUGAAACUAAAAGACUAAAGACUUGCAGCUUCCACAAGGCUCAGGUUUAUUGUGCCAACUGUUACAGCGAUUCUGUAUGGUGGGACGUGUUAGGGCGACCGCUCUAGUAGGUUCUGAGUUGUACAACAAUAACUGGUGGUUCCCGUCGAAUUUCUGUGAGCCUUAUCGUUUUUUUACAUGAGCUCAUGAUAUUAAGCUAAAGUCACAUGGUAGCUAGCGGAAAAUCAUUGUGAUGUAAAUGCGGUAAAAAGGGAAAUGCAUAAAAUUCUAUGAAAUAAAAACGAGGCAUGCGGGUGCCAUUACAUGUGGUAUUGCCUCGUUUUGUUCGUCAUGUAACAUAAUACUGCAGUGCUAUUCAGGCGGUGUGCGUCAUGACCCUAAAGGUUCAUGAGUAAAAAUGUGACCGUAGCUCAUUUCGAUCCAGACACGGUCGAGUACGCAUCUCCCAGGAGUCAUUACAGUGAGAGUAAACAUUGGAAUCAAAACGCUGCUUCCUUUUCUGAAAAGUGUUACAGAUGAGAGUAGUUUAGAUCAUUUCAAAGAUCUCACAGUGGCUGUAGAGAUGCAUCUUGUUGGCUUCACAAGGCAAUUUCAUUAAGUUUAUUGCGAUUUAGCAAUGAUCAAAGGUGUGAUUUUACAGGAUUUUAGCCAUGUAAAUCUCCGGCUUCUCAGAGGGUUUUCUGUAGUUAUUUGUUAAGCUUGAGCUUAUGGUUAAGAUUAUAAGUUCUAUAUAAUACAUUUUCUCCCAGAGUGAAAGAGAUCUGUAGUUCUUACUGGAUUUACCUAAGUACAAAUCAAUUCGACCAUUAGUAGUGUUUGAUGGACUUUCACUGAUGGACUUUGACUGCCAGGCAAGGAAAGGGAACACAAACAUUGGACAAGGUGAGAAAUCUUCAUCAUCUCUCGUGUCAGUUUUAUUUUUCUUCGACUAGUUUAUUUCACAGCCAUUGACUGCAAACAAAUCUUUCAUCAGGAAACAAGAGAAACAGAUCAAAAGAGCUGAACAGUGACGGCGCAUUGAGGAUUUAACCGGAGCAAGAAAGCCACUGGCUGGGGUGGCAGAAAUAAACCAUGAUCAUGUCUGCAGGUUCGUUGAAGUGAGUUUUACAGUACGAAGAGUUCGGAUUUUAUUAUUUACGUCACCGUUUAAAAUCUCGUUAAAAUAAUUGUCUAGACCUUCAACUGCAGUGCUUUAAAAUAUGGUAUAUCUUACUAUUCUUCUUAGACUUGCCGACAGAGGUCUAUCGAUUACGUGGUUGCUCCAUAUGAGGCAGAUGCCCAAAUAGCAUACCUCACAAAGAAUGGUUAUACCGAUAUUGUGAUUUCCAAAGAUUCUGAUCUUCUAGCAUACAGAUGCCAAAACAGUUUUAUUCAAGCUGCAGCUCAGUGGUGCAUGUCAAGUAAUCAAGCUUGAAAAGGCAUUGGCCCACUUGUCAAUGAGACAGGAAAGUUUUCUUAACAUGUGUAUUGCUGCAGGUUGUGACUACCUUUCAAAUGUACAUGGAAUCAGGAUUCACUUAGGAAAAAAGCUUGUGACAGAAGGAAAUAAUUUCUUGGCUGUUCUGCAGAGCAACAAAUAUGCCCCAGGUGAAUACACCAGUGGAUUUCAAACAGCCAAGGCCAUCUUUCUGCACCAGACAAUGAUAAAUCCUGCUCAUGCAACAACAAUCCCAUUAUCACCAUGGGAAGAAACUCCUGAUUCACAAUCCCAAACAUCCUGUGGGAUAUAUCCACAUAGUUAUUAUACCUAGUAUAUGUCUGUGAGAAGAAUACUUCCAAAAACUCCAGUUUUCGCAUGAAAGCAGGUGAAGCCUUAUUAGUGCACCCUAAUACCCUCUUGCUGGUUAAUACCCUCUAACUGGUCUUCCCUCUUGCUGCUUGUUUUUUCUCAUAACCGAAAACAAACCCUGCUUAUUACCAUAUUAAGUCAGCUUCUGCAUAUUAGGGAAUUUGGGAACUCAAAAUGGACCCAACAUAUUGUCGUGUGAGAGAAUUUCAUGUUUAUUUAUGUCUACAAGUCUCCUGCCCUCCCCCUCCAAAGAAACUCAACAUAUAACAUUACAUUAAACUCUUGUCUUUUUUUUUUACUAGUAAUUGUUCAAGUCAGCAUGACUUUAUAUAUUAGUACUAUUAGUUUCCUUAAUAUCAAACAUGAUUAGCCUGCUGGCAAAAGAAUAUGCUGUUAACCUGGCUGUGGGUAAUGUUGACCCCAAGAUGAAGACAUCCAUUGCAAAUAAUUUUCCACUUCCUGCUUAGGCGAUUUUGUGGCAGCCUAGAGACCUGUGCUUGUCAGUUGAAACUAUAGACAAUCUAAACAUUAACUGGACUAUUCCUUCACUUCCUGUAUUGACAAUCGAAUUUGAGAAGUUGCAUGUCAAUAACACAAGGACAAUGAAACCAGCCCUGAUCAAGGCAGAAGAUACUGACUGAGUAAAAGCAGGCGAUGUAAAAAUUUGCACCAAAUGGUGUGAUUUGGUAACGGAAAGUGUCCCUUAUUUGGUUCUCUUGGAAUUUAGACAGUCUGAACCACCAGAACUCAGUAAUGGUUUAAUAAUUGAUGUUGCGGAUGACAAUUCAAGUGACAAGGACAGCAAUGAUUAUUCAGUGUAUACUGUUCCUUUUAAAGUGCUCAGAGUAGCGUAUAAAGGUAGACAAACCUACCUGAAAAAAGCAUAUGUGAGUUUGGAACAAAAGCAAGAGGUAAUAGCAAAACUUCAACGAUUACGACCAGAAUGCAAUAACUGUCCUCAUAAACUUUGCAGUGGCUGGAACAAAGUGGGUUACAUUACCAAGGAGUUAACAAGUGAGCUACAGCCCCUCAUUGACAAUGGCAAUAUCAAAGUUAAUGUUACACAUAUUUGCUUCAGAGUUAACUAUUUGCAAGUUGGCUUUUACUUCACAUUAAAUAUUUCUAGAACAGGACAGUGGAGCAAAAAGGUUUUCAAGGCUGCUAAGAAGGCCAAAUAAAUUUAAAACACCUCAUGUUCAGACUAUAUUUAUUUCUGUGUGAUAUUUUCUUUACCAUUUUGGUAGAGUACAUUAAUGCCUCUGCAACAAAGUUCCAAAAAAUCUAUAGGAAUAAAUGGCUCAAAAUUGUGGCUAAACUCCAGAUACAUGUACUGGCAAAACAAAUUCUGCAUUAAGUCUCAUCUCAUGCAUGAGCGCAUUGAUGGCAAUAAUUUGAUAACUUUGGCAAUUGAAACUCCAAAACAUUCCUGAUUGCCAAUACAGGUGACAAGAGGGUUCUGUUUCCCUGCAAGGACUCUGGAGUAUGAGUAACAUCUCCAGGAUUUGUGGACCCUUCAGAUGGGCACCCUUGAAGUCCUCUGCUGAAAUAGUUAAUGCAGAGGUCCUCUUCUGCUUCUUCCAAUGUUUUAUACUUUUGGCAAAGGUACGAGUUGACCUGUUGUCUACAUGCAUCCCUGUUAAAAAAAAUAAUAAUACACAUCUGGCUCAGUUGCGGUGCAAAUGAACAUAAGGGUAAAUCAAAUAUCAUGUGUUCUAUUAUUCUUAUCACAAGUCAAUAAAUUGGUUCAGGUAUGUACAGAUUCUUCAAAAUAUUAGUACCAUAUCACUAACAUAGAGAGCAGUACUUUUUGUUUCAUCACUGUCACAUUUUAGGAAAUUUAAUAUCCAAGAUAGUUAUAUUUGAAAGAUGAUGUAAUGGAAACUUGCUGUCAUACUUGUAAUAUCCAGGAUUGACGCCCCAUCCAAAAGUUAUCUGCUUAAAUUAAUCUGCUUGUACCAAGGUUUUAGCUGGAAGGGUGUCCAUGCUGAACUCCUGGAGAUUUGCUGGAACCUUGCGGGUGUAACCCUUGUCAAUAAUGUCUGCCAUGAAACACUUGUAGUCGCUGUACAAGUCCUUGUAAUGUUGUACUUUCCUUUCACCAGAAAGUGCGUUUUUCUGCCGGCAGUUUGCUGUUUAGGACUGGUUCUUUGCGAUCUUUCAAAGGUAACUCCAUUUUAUAGUGACCAUCUCUCAAUACUACAGUACGCUCCAACUUGCAGAGGAAACGAAGCUCUUCUUGUGACAUUUCAGGUUUGUCAUCAGCACUGGAUUCAUUGAAGCCACUGUUGUAAAAAUCCUUCACCAUCUGAUGAAAUUCAGGAUCAGCCUUUAAAAAGAAACUUAUUGCAUGUGGGCCCUUGUGAUAACGCCCUAAAGGACCAUUAACCGUCCGUCCCUACUUGAUCGGGAAGCAUAAGGACCACCGUUUUGACUGCUUCACUUCCAAACAAUCAAAGAUAGUGGGAACAUCCCAGGCUAUGAGAAGACCUAUUUCGGCGUCAACCUCAGGUAGGCAUACUCCACACAAGUGUGGCCACUGGUCAAUGUCACCCUAUGUGGAUAUGUCCUCCUUUGAAAUGGGUAUUUUCAGUCUCAUAUAAAGUGCUGGCAAGUCGAUAAAGACAUUUUUACCCAGAUCAGAGAUGAAAAGAUCUUUCACAACGAAACUUUCAAUAAGGCUGUCUUUCUUUUCCAAAGUUGUUAGGGAAAUCUGAGUUCGUGUACCACUGACCCCUAGCUGUCUCAUCAAGGAUUCUGUGCAGAAUGUGGAGGAACUACCACUGUCCAAAAAUGCAUAGGUAAUCACAGGGGGACCUGUAGCUUUCAACCAAACUUUGACCAGAACAACAGCCAUGCCUAUUCUCGAAAGGUCAAGAUUAACCAUUCUGUUACGAAUGCAUGUGGACUCUUGUGGCGAGGUACUUGCAGAAGGAAUGUCGGAUGGUUGAAUUCUUCCCACAGUGUUCGUGUGAAGAAUUUUGGGAUGUUUCCUGGUACGGUUAGCAAUGGUACAUGUUUUCCUUUCCAGGCGUUCUUUUGCCAUGUGAUUGGAAGACAAACAACCAAAGCAGAGGUGUUUUGAUUUCAAGAAUUGAAUCCGAUCUGGAUACAGGAGGCAUCUAAUUGCA
rnacentral:lncRNA from 1 species